rnacentral:misc_RNA from 1 species
GAAAUGCGAUAAUUAAUGUGAAUUGCAGAAUUCAGUGAAUCAUCGAGUCUUUGAACGCACAUUGCACCCCCUGGUAUUCCGGGGGGUAUGCCUGUCCGAGCGUCAUUGCUGCCCUCAAGCCCGGCUUGUGUGUUGGGUCCUCGUCCCCCCCCCGGGGGACGGGCCCGAAAGGCAGCGGCGGCACCGCGUCCGGUCCUCGAGCGUAUGGGGCUUUGUCACACCGCUCUCGUAGGCCCGGCCGGCGCUGGCCGACGCUGAAAAGCAACCAUUAUUUCUCCAGGUUGACCUCGGAUCAGGUAGAGAUACGCGCUGAACAUAAGC